GCUCAGGAUGAACGCUGGCGGCGUGCUUAACACAUGCAAGUCGAACGAAGCACUUUAUUUGAUUUCUUCGGAAUGAAGAUUUUGUGACUGAGAUGGCGGACGGGUGAGUAACGCGUGGGUAACCUGCCUCAUACAGGGGGAUAACAGUUGGAAACGACUGCUAAUACCGCAUAAGCGCACAGGGUCGCAUGGCCUGGUGUGAAAAACUCCGGUGGUAUGAGAUGGACCCGCGUCUGAUUAGCCAGUUGGUGGGGUAACGGCCUACCAAAGCGACGAUCAGUAGCCGACCUGAGAGGGUGACCGGCCACAUUGGGACUGAGACACGGCCCAAACUCCUACGGGAGGCAGCAGUA
rnacentral:rRNA from 1 species